rnacentral:rRNA from 1 species
GACGAACGCUGGCGGCGUGCUUAACACAUGCAAGUCGAAUGAUGAACUUGGAGCUUGCUCUGGGGGAUUAGUGGCGAACGGGUGAGUAACACGUGAGUAACCUGCCCUGGACUCUGGGAUAACUUCGAGAAAUCGGAGCUAAUACCGGAUAGGACCUUGCACCGCAUGGGGUGGGGUGGAAAGUUUUUCGGUUUGGGAUGGACUCGCGGCCUAUCAGCUUGUUGGUGGGGUAAUGGCUCACCAAGGCGUCGACGGGUAGCCGGCCGGAGAGGGUGACCGGCCACACUGGGACUGAGACACGGCCCAGACUCCUACGGGAGGCAGCAGUGGGGAAUAUUGCACAAUGGGCGCAAGCCUGAUGCAGCAACGCCGCGUGCGGGAUGACGGCCUUCGGGUUGUAAACCGCUUUUAGUAGGGAAGAAGCCUUCGGGUGACGGUACCUGCAGAAAAAGGACCGGCUAACUACGUGCCAGCCGCCGCAGUAACAC